AUUGAACGCUGGCGGCAGGCCUAACACAUGCAAGUCUAACGAGUGGCGGACGGGUGAGUAAUGUCUGGGAAACUGCCCGAUGGAGGGGGAUAACUACUGGAAACGGUAGCUAAUACCGCCUACCAUCGGAUGUGCCCAUAUGGGAUUAGCGAGUAGGUGGGGUAAUGGCUAACCUAGGCGACGAUCCCUAGCUGGUCUGAGAGGAUGACCAGCCCCACUGGAACACAGACACGGUCCAGACUCCUACGGGAGGCAGCAGUGGGGAAUAUUGCACAGUGGGCGCAAGCCUGAUGCAGCCAUGCCGCGUGUAUGAAGAAGGCCUUCGGGUUGUAAAGUACUUUCAGCGGUGAGGCGUUACUCGCAGAAGAAGCACCGGCUAACUCCGUGCCAGCAGCCGCGGUAUUUC
rnacentral:rRNA from 1 species